GGGGAAUAUUGCACAAUGGGCGCAAGCCUGAUGCAGCGACGCCGCGUGAGGGAUGAAGGCCUUCGGGUUGUAAACCUCUUUCAGCAGGGAAGAAGCGCAAGUGACGGUACCUGCAGAAGAAGCGCCGGCUAACUACGUGCCAGCAGCCGCGGUAAUACGUAGGGCGCAAGCGUUGUCCGGAAUUAUUGGGCGUAAAGAGCUCGUAGGCGGUUUGUCGCGUCUGCUGUGAAAACUCGAGGCUCAACCUCGGGCUUGCAGUGGGUACGGGCAGACUAGAGUGCGGUAGGGGAGACUGGAAUUCCUGGUGUAGCGGUGGAAUGCGCAGAUAUCAGGAGGAACACCGAUGGCGAAGGCAGGUCUCUGGGCCGCAACUGACGCUGAGGAGCGAAAGCAUGGGGAGCGAAC
rnacentral:rRNA from 1 species